rnacentral:lncRNA from 1 species
AAGAACUAGUGAGCCGACAACUGCUGUUCUAAUAUGUAGGAGAACACAGCUCGACAUGCAAGAUUGUCGUCAAUGGGUUAAGAGCAGGAUGGAAGACAGAGGAGCCAAACCUUGCGAAUUUUCUCAAACAGCUCCACCUCACAAACCCUCUGAUUCAGUUUCAAACACUACUUUUUCUGGUAAAUAAUAUGGUGAUAUUUUGAUGCUUUUCCUUCUUUGAGGUGCUAAAAGUAUCUCCAUUAAUGGUUCUAUCUUUUGGAUUUAAGAAACUCACCAUAUAUGUUUGCAUAUUUAUGCCACUUAUCACUAUCAUGAUUAGGCAUCUUGAUAUUACUGUCACAAUCAUUACAAAACACUAUCCUUCAUUUUUUGUCUUCUUUUAGCUCAAUUAAUUGUUGGUUAGCGAAUGCAUUCUUUUUUAUUUAGAUUUCCAACUUGAAGAAUCAUGACUUUUGCAAUUUGUUUUUGCUCGAUUUCCUUUUUAAUUAUUAAAAUUUUCUCACCUUGUGUAGGUUCUCCCCGUAAUCCUCAGACUGUAUCUUUCUUGGAAUUGCUAGAUCUUCCUUAUGUUCUUGAUAAUGCAUUGGACUCCAGGGAUACUCCUGCUUCAUUGCCUCAAAAGGGUAAAGAGUUUUCUAUUUACCUUGUCCCACUCAGUUUUGAUGCAUUGUCCCUUUAUACGGUACUUAACGGCUUCUAGUUAAUCUUCAUUGUGAUGCAGUCAAACCUAGAGUAUACAUGAUUCUAGGAAUACCUUUUGCUUCUCGUGUUUAAUAUGGUGCUGAUGCUCUCUCGCAUAGUUUAAUGGGAUAGAUAAUUGAUCAUUUGCUUUCAAUCAAGGUAGAACAUUGAAUGUGCCUAAUGUUUUGAACUUUGUGCAUAUCAUAUGUAAUGCUAUAACUUUGCCUCGUACACGUUUAUUGAACUAAAUCCAUUAAAUUUCUUAAGGUGACAUCGUUUUUCCUGUUGGUUCAUUAGAUGAUUACAGCGAAGACAUUCCCAUUGAAGACGAGGAUGAUCUAGAAGAUGGAGAACCGAAUAAUGAAAACCGGUCCUCAUGAAUGUGAAUAAUGUUUUCUAUCAACCAAGAGGUUUAUUAGUGCAAAAAGAUUGAUGGCAAUAUCCUGCAAUUCUGGUUCACAGAUUUUAGUGCUCGGUUCGAUGGUUUUAUUGUCCGGUUUAGCUUUUUUACUUGUUUGAACCAGGCUACCUGUUGUACGUAUUCCAGGUAGGGAUAUCCCAUUCUACCGAUAUCCCGAGCUGGGAUAUCCUGCAUUACGGGUACACCGGUUUGUGGCUGUUUUGCUUCGGAUCUAUCCCGAUUUGGGUCUUUUUUUAAAAAAAUAUUUAUAAAAAAUUAAUAGGGAAGGCCGAUGUUUUUUAGAAUUUUAGGUCCAUUUUUCCAAAAAAAAAAGGACACCUUUUAAGCCCACCUCAUUUCCAAAAAAAGCCCCCACGAUCAUUAAUGCAUUAAAUUUUAUUUUCUAUUCCUUCAAACUAGGCUAGCUAUUUGAUUUUCUUAUUUGUCUUAAUUCGUGAGGGAUAGUGCUUUUUCAAACAAAAUUUUAAGUAAGUUAAGUGUGAAAAACAAUUUAUUUUAAAGGAAAAAAAAUUAAUACAAGAGCAUUCAAGUCUUUUAAUAGUUUACAUAAAAGCUUAAAAAAAGACUUUAAAAAUCAAUAACAGAAUUUAGAAUCUAAUUAUUAAGGUGCCUCAACCAAUAUUAAUCUGACAAUCCGUAUUAUUCAUGUCACAUAACAUUAACUUCGAAAACGUUUAAUGGUUUUUUAUUUAAAUUCUCAAAGUUAAAGUAAAUCUGAAGUUGAAUCCCCAAAUCAAAAUUGAAAUUGAAGGCCUUUUAAAACUUUCUUGUGAGAUGAUUUCUAUGAUAUAAAAUGUAAUCUUUUCGUUAGUAUGUUUUGCAUGCGAAAAUAUGUUCCAUGUCAAAAGAAUUAAGCUCUGAAUGUAACAAGAAAUUUUGAAUAAGUAACGGCAAUUUUUAAUGUUUUAGGCCUCGAAUCAUAGGUUUUAAAAUUAUAUUUCAACUUUAAAUUAUUGUUAUUAUUAAAAUCACCAAAAUUUUAAGAGUAUAGAGUUUUGAUAACUUAGAAUAAACUAAAAUGUCAUGAAAUUUUUGAAAUAUAAAAUACAAAAUUAUUUUAUUUUAUUUCAUUUUAAUAUUAUUGUUAGUCAAAUUAUGUUUAUUAUGGUAAACAUAAUAUUAAAUUAAUUUUGAAAAGUUUUUGUUGAAUUUUUAUAUUUAUAUAUUAUAAAAAUUAAGCCAUAGCCUCCGCUGUAAAAGGAGAAGGUAUGUGGCCAUGCAUGGUUGUUUUCUAACAUAACACAGAACCAAAACAAUUUCUAAUAAGGAUAGCCGAGCAAGAUUUGCUAUUGUGUUUGCAAUUGUUGGACAAAAACACAUUAGCGAACAUGUAAUUAAUUAUAAAUAAACACAUAUAAAAUAAAAUAUAAAUAGAAUGAUAUUUAAUUAAAUUUUUAAAUACGAAAAUCAAACAAAAUUGUAAUAAAAAUUGAAAUAAGAAGAAUAGAGAUUUUACGAAACUUUAAGACCUAUGAAACACAAUAUACUUAAGAUAGAUUCGGCUGCUCCUACGAUAUUUGGAGAAAUAUUGAUAGAAUGUCUCUCAACAUACAACAAUAACAGUAAUUUUGAUAUUUUCUUUACUAGUUUUUUAAUUGAUUGGUAAUACAUAACCUCCGGACUAGCACUGUCUAUAAUGGUUGUGGUGUACCUUGAAAUAUUAAAUAUUAUAAUUUUUUAAGAUAUUAUGAUGAUAUUUUUUAUAUAUAAAAUCAAUAAAAAACAAAUAAUAAGAUUUUUAAAAAAAUGACAAAUCUCAGACUUUUUGUUUUCUUCUUUAUAAAUCUUUUGUCUUUGCUUGUUCAUCUCUAUUUUUUAUUUCAGAUAUAUUUAUUCAUCACUUGAAGUAAAGCAAAAGGGAAAGUAGGAGGGUUUCGAUGAGAGUGAAGUCAUUCUGGAAAUACUAUUCGGGUCAGGAGAUUGCCCCAGUUCUCACCAUUUUUAUCGGUGGAAAUCAUGAAGCUUCCAAUUAUUUAUGGGAAUUGUAAGUCAGCCCCUUUUCUUCAUAUGUUCUAGCUUGGGGAUUUUGAUUCUUUUAUGAAAAGGCCUUGAAUUUUACCUUCUGCAAUUGAAAUGUGUGAACUUUAGGUAUUAUGGGGGAUGGGCAGCACCUAAUAUAUACUUGUUGGGGUUUGCUGGGGUUGUGAAGUUUGGCAAUAUCCGUAUCGGUGGACUUUCUGGAAUUUACAAUGCACCUAAUUAUUGUUUAGGUUGGGGUUGAAGUUCUUUUACUUGUCUAUUUUGUGUUUAUUCUGGAGUUCUUUUGAUGGUGAUUGUUUAUUUACUGAAAGCGAGUGUCAAAUAUGUUAUAUUGAUUCUUAUUUAGGGUGGAGAGUCGAAGCUUUGAAACUUAAAUGAAUUAGCUUUUCCUUGAGCAGGACACCAUGAAAGGUCACCUUAUAAUGACAAUACUAUGGGAACUGGCAAAUUGACAGAAACUGAUUGAUAUUCACAAUACUAUAAGGAUAUCAUGUCCGGGAGUAUGAUGUUCACAAGCUCAUGCACCUAGAGGAACCGAUUGAUAUUUUCCUUUCACACGAUUGGCCGCUCGGCAUCACUGGGAACUUGCAACAACUUGUUUGCUACAAAAAAACAUUUCAAAGAUGAGGUAAUUAUAUUUGAUUGGUGGAAAUGCAUAUGUGUGACAGAAUGAAAAUCUUCAUAUCAAGCGUAUUCAGUUUUCUUGUUGACCAUUCCUGGUUACUUGUUGGUUGAAGCAUAUUUCCUAGAUCCAGCAAGGAACUCUUGGAAGCAAGCCUGCUGCACAGCUGCUCGAAAAACUCAAACCAUCGUAUUGGUUUUCAGCUCACUUGCACUGCAAAUUCACUGCUCUUGUUGAACAUGAAGAGGGUGGUCGAGUGACAAAAUUUCUUGCACUCGAUAAAUGCCUUCCAGGGCGCAAGUUCUUGCAGGUAUCUAUCAUAUGUUCUGACCAUUUCAUUUAGGUUCUUUCUUUUGGUCUUUGCUGGAAGCUAAUAAAUGAAUUCUGGCUUUCUUUGAUCUUUUAGAUUGUUGAUAUUGAAUCUGAUCCAGGACCUUAUGAGGUUCAGUACGAUGAGGAAUGGCUGGCAAUAACACGGAAAUUGAACUGUGUCUUUCCUUUGACCUUCUGACGUGGAGACUUUGGGUGUGUGUAUAUAUGACAUUUUUGUUUUGACCAUGCCACUCAUCGCUCUCUCUCUCUCUCUCUUGGGUGGGGUGGACUAAUGUUUUAUUUGAAAAUGUGCAAUUUUCUAUUUUUACAAGUACUAUUUCUUUACAAGAACUAGUGAGCCAACAACUGUUGUUCUAAUAUGUAGGAGAACACAUCUUGACAUGCAAGAUUGUUGUCAAUGGGUUAAGAGCAGGAUGGAAGACAGAGGAGCCAAACCUUGUGAAUUUUCUCAAACAGUUCCACCUCACAAACCCUUUGAUUCAGUUUCAAACACUACUUUUUUCUGGUAAAUAAUAUGGUGAUAUUUUGAUGCUUUUCCUUCUUUGAGGUGCAAAAAGUAUCUCCAUUAAUGGUUCUAUCUUUUGGAUUUAAGAAAAUCACCAUAUAUGUUUGCAUGUUUAUGCCACUUAUCACUAUCAUGAUUAGGCAUCUCGAUAUUACUGUCACAGUCAUUACAAAACACUAUCCUUCAUUUUUUGUCUUCUUUUAGCUCAAUUAAUUGUUGGUUAGUGAAUGCAUUCUUUUUUAUUUAGAUUUGCAACUAGAAUAAUCAUGACUUUUGCAAUUUGUUUUUGCUCGAUUUCCUUUUUAAUUAUUAAAAUUUUCUCACCUUGUGUAGGUUCUCCCCGUAAUCCUCAGAUUGUAUCUUUCUUGGAAUUGCUAGAUCUUCCUUAUGUUCUUGAUAAUGCAUCGGACUCCAGGGACACUCCUACUUCAUUGCCUCAAAAGGGUAAAGAGUUUUCUAUUUACCUUGUCCCACUCAGUUUUGAUACAUUGUCCCUGUAUACGGUACUUAGCGGCUUUUAGUUAAUCUUCAUUGUGAUGCAGUCAAACCUAGAGUAUACAUGAUUCCAGGAAUACCUUUUGCUUCUCGUGUUUAAUAUGGUGCUGAUGCUCUCUCAUAUAGUUUAAUGGGAUAGAUAAUUGAUCAUUUGCUUUCAACCAAGGUAGAACAUUGAAUGCGUCUAAUGUUUUGAGCUUUGUGCAUAUCAUACGUAAUGCUAUAACGUUGCCUCGUACAUGUUGAUUGAACUAAAUCCAUUAAAUUUCUUAAGGUGGCAUCAUUUUUCCUGUUGGUUCAUUAGAUGAUUACAGCGAAGACAUUCCCAUUGAAGACGAGGAUGAUCUAGAAGAUGAUGCAGAACCGGAUAAUGAAAACCAGUCCCCAUGAAUGUGAAUGAUGUUUUCUAUCAACCAAGAGGCUUAUUAGUGCAAAAAGAUUGAUG